ACAAAAGAUAUUUUCAUAGCUAUAUAACUGUCAAUCGAGCUAGUUUUACCAUAAUAUAUACACACAAGCUAACAUGUUUACCGAUUCAUUUCCAGAAUCUAGGUCCCUUAUUGGAUCUUCCAUUAUUCUUUCCAUCCCAUACAGAUGACCAGAAGAAAAGAGACAUCCAGAAAAAAACAGCACAGAAAAUCUGGACACUUUCUUGAAAUCUAGACAAAGAUGCAAUUGAACCUAACUCGAACUCUGAUCAUCACCGGGCGGCGGUUCAGACUCCGGCGGAGACGGCGGAUGAGGACUCGCAGCACGGCACCGGCGACGGCGUAGUUUGAAAUUACGUGGCGGAAGUGGAGACCAACAGUGUGAUGAUGUGAUUCUACUAGUGGAACAACUGCAGUGGACCGACGGAACGAAAGGAGUGAUGGCGGUGAGAAUCGACAGUCGGUGGUGGUGGUGGUUUACGGUGGCCGGAGAUAGAAGAGUCGGUGCCAUUCGUUUGUAACUGAUAUUUUCGGUG
rnacentral:lncRNA from 1 species